AGUGAACGCUGGCGGUAGGCCUAACACAUGCAAGUCGAACGGCAGCACAGUAAGAGCUUGCUCUUACGGGUGGCGAGUGGCGGACGGGUGAGGAAUACAUCGGAAUCUACUUUUUCGUGGGGGAUAACGUAGGGAAACUUACGCUAAUACCGCAUACGACCUACGGGUGAAAGCAGGGGAUCUUCGGACCUUGCGCGAUUGAAUGAGCCGAUGUCGGAUUAGCUAGUUGGCGGGGUAGAGGCCCACCAAGGCGACGAUCCGUAGCUGGUCUGAGAGGAUGGUCAGCCACCAUGGAACUGAGAAGAGGUCCAGACUCCUACGAGAGGCAGCAGUGGGGAAUAUUGGACAAUGGGCGCAAGCCUGAUCCAGCCAUAACGCGUGGGUGAAGAAGGCCUUCGGGUUGUAAAGCCCUUUUGUUGGGAAAGAAAAGCAGCAGGUUAAUACCCCGCUGUUCUGACGGUACCCAAAGAAUAAGCACCGGCUAACUUCGUG
rnacentral:rRNA from 1 species